CCAGACCCGGGUAUCGGCCGCUGUCCACCUGAGCGACCAGCCAGGGCUUCAGACGGACCCGUCGAGGGGUGACCGACAUCCUGACUGACAAGACAGCACAAACCGCUGGAGUCCAACAGAUGAUGCAGCUGCACCACCUUUUUUACCAAGUACAAAGUGAAAUGGGGGCCACAGACGUGGUAUAAGGCAAUUCCCAGGGCCUUGGAGUGAGGUAGUUGUGGCCGUCCCUCAGUCAACACUGAAUGUGUUACU